UACAGAGGUCUCAAGCGUUGUUCGGAUUCAUUGGGCGUAAAGCGUGCGCAGGCGGCUUCUCAAGUCAGGGGUGAAAGCCCAGAGCUCAACUCUGGAACUGCCUUUGAGACUGAGUGGCUUGAGUACGAGAGAGGUGAGUGGAAUUCCCAGUGUAGCGGUGAAAUGCGCAGAUAUCAGGAAGAACACCCGUGGCGAAGGCGGCUCUCUGGGACGGUACUGACGCUGAGACGCGAAAGCGUGGGGAGCGAACAGG
rnacentral:rRNA from 1 species